rnacentral:misc_RNA from 1 species
GUAGGUGAACCUGCGGAAGGAUCAUUACCGAGUAUUGGGUCUUAGUGCCCGCACUCCAACCCUUUGUGUACCUAAAUCUGUUGCUUUGGCGGGCCCGCGGUGUAAUGCCGCUGCCGGCUCACGCUGGUCAGCGCCCGCCAGAGAACCGUUAAACUCUUGUUUAUUCAGUGUCGUCUGAGCAAAAAUCUAAUUAUUAAAACUUUUAACAACGGAUCUCUUGGUUCUG